rnacentral:SRP_RNA from 1 species
GCUGGGUGCAGUGGCACGUGCCUGUAGUCCCAGCUACUCGGGAGGCUGAGGUGGGAGGAUCGCUUGAGACCAGGAGUUCUGGGCUGUAGUGUGCUAUGCCGAUUGGGUGUCUGCACUAAGUUUGGUGUCAAUGGGGUGACUUCCCGGGAGCGGGGACCACCAGGUUGCCUAAGGAGGGGUGAACCGGCCCAGGUUGGAAACGGAGCAGGUCAAAACUCCCGUGCUGAUCAGCAGUUAGAUGGCAUCUGUGAAUAGCCACUGCACUUCAGCCUGGGCAACAUAGCAAGAACCUGUCUCU